CCGCCUGGGGAGUACGGCCGCAAGGUUAAAACUCAAAUGAAUUGACGGGGGCCCGCACAAGCGGUGGAGCAUGUGGUUUAAUUCGAUGCAACGCGAAGAACCUUACCUACUCUUGACAUCCAGAGAACGAGGCAGAGAUGCCUUGGUGCCUUCAGGAACUCUGAGACAGGUGCUGCAUGGCUGUCGUCAGCUCGUGUUGUGAAAUGUUGGGUUAAGUCCCGCAACGAGCGCAACCCUUAUCCUUUGUUGCCAGCGAUUCGGUCGGGAACUCAAAGGAGACUGCCGGUGAUAAACCGGAGGAAGGUGGGGAUGACGUCAAGUCAUCAUGGCCCUUACGAGUAGGGCUACACACGUGCUACAAUGGUGCAUACAAAGAGAAGCGAUCUCGCGAGAGUCAGCGGACCUCAUAAAGUGCGUCGUAGUCCGGAUUGGAGUCUGCAACUCGACUCCAUGAAGUCGGAAUCGCUAGUAAUCGUGGAUCAGAAUGCCACGGUGAAUACGUUCCCGGGCCUUGUACACACCGCCCGUCACACCAUGGGAGUGGGUUGCAAAAGAAGUAGGUAGCUUAACCUACGGGAGGGCGCUUACCACUUUGUGAUUCAUGACUGGGGUGAAGUCGUAACAAGGUAACCGUAGGGGAACCUGCGGUUGGAUCACCUCCUUACCU
rnacentral:rRNA from 1 species